rnacentral:rRNA from 1 species
GGUGAGUAACGCGUAGGUAACCUGCCUUGUAGCGGGGGAUAACUAUUGGAAACGAUAGCUAAUACCGCAUAACAAUGGAUGACUCAUGUCAUUUAUUUGAAAGGGGCAAAUGCUCCACUACAAGAUGGACCUGCGUUGUAUUAGCUAGUAGGUGAGGUAACGGCUCACCUAGGCGACGAUACAUAGCCGACCUGAGAGGGUGAUCGGCCACACUGGGACUGAGACACGGCCCAGACUCCUACGGGAGGCAGCAGUAGGGAAUCUUCGGCAAUGGGGGCAACCCUGACCGAGCAACGCCGCGUGAGUGAAGAAGGUUUUCGGAUCGUAAAGCUCUGUUGUAAGUCAAGAACGAGUGUGAGAGUGGAAAGUUCACACUGUGACGGUGGCUUACCAGAAAGGGACGGCUAACUACGUGCCAGCAGCCGCGGUAAUACGUAGGUCCCGAGCGUUGUCCGGAUUUAUUGGGCGUAAAGCGAGCGCAGGCGGUUUGAUAAGUCUGAAGUUAAAGGCUGUGGCUCAACCAUAGUUCGCUUUGGAAACUGUCAAACUUGAGUGCAGAAGGGGAGAGUGGAAUUCCAUGUGUAGCGGUGAAAUGCGUAGAUAUAUGGAGGAACACCGGUGGCGAANGCGGCUCUCUGGUCUGUAACUGACGCUGANGCUCGAAAGCGUGGGGAGCGAACAGGAUUAGAUACCCUGGUAGUCCACGCC